rnacentral:rRNA from 1 species
UUGGAGGGCAAGUCUGGUGCCAGCAGCCGCGGUAAUUCCAGCUCCAAUAGCGUAUAUUAAAGUUGUUGCAGUUAAAAAGCUCGUAGUUGAAUUUCGGGAUUGACGUGAUGGUCAUGCCUUAAGGGGUAUGAACUGUCACAGUUGAUUUCUCACCUUCUGGAGAAACUUGAUGUCCUUUAUUGGGUGUCUUGCGGAUCCAGGACCUUUACCUUGAAGAAAUUAGAGUGUUUAAAGCAGGCAUUUUUGCUCGAAUACAUUAGCAUGGAAUAAUAGAAUAGGACGGCAUGGUUCUAUUUUGUUGGUUUCUAGGAUCACCGUAAUGAUUAAUAGGGAUAGUUGGGGGCAUUAGUAUUCAAUUGUCAGAGGUGAAAUUCUUGGAUUUAUUGAAGACUAACUACUGCGAAAGCAUUUGCCAAGGAUGUUUUCAUUAAUCAAGAACGAAAGUUAGGGGAUCGAAGACGAUCAGAUACCGUCGUAGUCUUAACCAUAAACUAUGCCGACUAGGUAUCAGACGAUGUUAAUUUUUUAAUGACUCGUUUGGCACCUUACGGGAAACCAAAGUGUUUGGGUUC